GCCAGCCCGCUCAGAACUUAAAGGAAUUGACGGGGCCCGCACAAGCGGUGGAGCAUGUGGUUAAUUCGAAGCAACGCGAAGAACCUUACCAGGCCUUGACAUGCAGAGAACUUUCCAGAGAUGGAUUGGUGCCUUCGGGAACUCUGACACAGGUGCUGCAUGGCUAUCGUCAGCUCGUGUCGUGAGAUGUUGGGUUAAGUCCCGUAACGAGCGCAACCCUUGUCCUUAGUUACCAGCACGUUAUGGUGGGCACUCUAAGGAGACUGCCGGUGACAAACCGGAGGAAGGUGGGGAUGACGUCAAGUCAUCAUGGCCCUUACGGCCUGGGCUACACACGUGCUACAAUGGUCGGUACAAAGGGUUGCCAAGCCGCGAGGUGGAGCUAAUCCCAUAAAACCGAUCGUAGUCCGGAUCGCAGUCUGCAACUCGACUGCGUGAAGUCGGAAUCGCUAGUAAUCGUGAAUCAGAAUGUCACGGUGAAUACGUUCCCGGGCCUU
rnacentral:rRNA from 1 species